rnacentral:lncRNA from 1 species
CGGAUCACGACUCCACCCCUGGAAGAUCCCUGCCCCCGUUCUGCCAAAGGACCCUCGAGACUCGAAGUCGAGAGGAUUUCCUGGACCGAAGGCUCCAGGAGAUGAACCGGCGGAUCGAAGAACUCCGCCACGCACCUCCCGCUUAUGGUGAGGAUAUUUGCACUGACCCUCCUUUCUCCCAAAUGAUUAUGCAGGAAUC